GGGUGAAACAGCUCGCCCUCAGGAGAGCCCCAGCCACAGGGUUCUGCCAGCUGCUGCUGCGUAUCCUCCCACAGGUUGUUCUGUCGCUCUUUGCUUCAGUAAAAUAGAGGAUAACCGUACCUUGUAGGCCUGGUGUGACAAUUGGAUGCAAUAAAGUUUGCAGGAUGCUCAGCUCCGUGCUCUGCACAUGGGAAGCGUGCAGAAGAGGCCUCCUAGCUGAGGCUGACUAGACAGCAAGUGUUUCAAGCCCACCCGGCUUCACUGCUCACUCCCAGACCUGCCAAUGCAGACAGCACCAGAUCCAGACACUCCCCCUGGCUCCCCAGCCAGCUCCCUUCAGCAUCCAGAACCGUGGACAGACCAUUUCCAUGGCAAUAACCUGCUCUACAAAAGAGGCAAACAAAAGAAGCUCAAGCACUCCUGUUCCUCACGGGAAGGGCAGGGUUAUAUGUGAUCAUCAGCCACGGAGAGGACAGCAGAAGGAGAGAGGCCACGCCAGGGGCAGAGCAAAGAGGCGCUUUUGCUGAGACCUGCAAAGAACCCAGGCCCCUCAAAGGCAGAGCUGUAUCCCAUGUAGGGGAACUGAGCCCAAAGUGUUCACAGACACUAGGAGGCCCCUUCUAUUCUGUUCAACCUUGGUGGCGGAGGAGGGCUGUGGGGGAGACAAUGUGUAUUUAGGUAAAAGCCAAACACUGAAUGGAGACCUGCUAUCUGCUGAUGUCUCUCUCCACAGGCCUCAGCCUCUGUAACAGAGGCACUCAGAGGUCAAAGUACUUGUGAGCUAGUCAACAGCAGUACUGAGAUUUGAACAUGAAGUUGUCUGAGUUCAAUCCUGCCUCUAUGUUUCCCUGUUCUGAACAGUGCUCCUGGGCAUCUAGCUGGCCUGGUCCUAGAAAACCAGCUCUCAGAAGGACCAGAAAAGAACCAUCACCCCAGCCGUUUACUGCCUCUUGGUUGGUCAUGAAAGCAUCCCUCAAGCCUCAAGCCUCCAAACUCCAGAGUCACAUGCCCACAGAAGGAAAGCACCACUGGUGAGCCUCUAACUCCACACAAACACCAUUUCCCUGGGACCAAGGUACCCAGGCCUGCAAGACACCCUGGUAUGCUGCUCUGAUGUUAUUUGGAAUCUGGCACUGAGUAUGACUUUUUUUUAAAAAAACGAAAUCACUUCCUGUUCGACACACAGCUACUAUUGAAGUUUGCCACACUCCCUGCUGGAGCAGAGGGCUCCAGCCCUCUUCUCUGGCUUCCUGCCAAGCACACAGGGGCGGGAAACAGAGCUGGUGGGCAGAGAGGUGGCAGCUGGAGACCAAAGGGAUUAUUUUUCCAUUAUGUCAUGCACUCACUAAGGCUGAUCUCUAAGAAAGUUAUUGAUUUGGGUGGAUAUGUUUUGUUACCAGCCCACUUACCUAAUUCUCUCACUAAUUCUCUACUCCUAUAGCUUCCCCAUUGACUCCUCUGGCGUUUCUAAAAUAAAUAAUAACAUAAUCCGCGCAUAAUGUUAAUUUGGUAUUCUUCUUCCAGAUGUGUAAUUACCAUUUGUGACUGCUUCUUCUCUGUCAUUGACUGGGAAAUCCUCAACGACCACAGUGCUCGGAGCAAUCAUCUUUCAUUUAUUCUUAACGUUAACGGGAGUUGCUUCAGUGCCACAGCACUAAGUAGGGCUCUGACUAUGGGUGGCCGUGGAGCGGCUCCAUCCUGCUGGGAAUACGCCUUCUUAUUCUUUCUCUGUCCUCACCAAUAAUGAAAACCGGGGCUUUAACAAGGGAGGUUUGAACAUUCACGGAAAUGAUCAUUUUUUCCUUUGUCAUAUUGAUUGC